UGUAAGGUCUAAUUGCUUAUAAUGGUGUA
rnacentral:piRNA from 1 species